rnacentral:rRNA from 1 species
AAAACUUUCAACAACGGAUCUCUUGGUUCAGGCAUCGAUGAAGAGCGCAGUGAAAUGCGAUAAGUAAUGUGAAUUGCAGAAUUCAGUGAAUCAUCGCAUCUUGGAACGCACAUUGCUCCGUCGGGUAUUCCGGAGGGCAUGCCUGUUCGAGCGUCAUU